rnacentral:rRNA from 1 species
CGCCGCGUGAGGGAUGACGGCCUUCGGGUUGUAAACCUCUUUCAGCAGGGACGAAGCGCAAGUGACGGUACCUGUAGAAGAAGGACCGGCCAACUACGUGCCAGCAGCCGCGGUAAUACGUAGGGUCCGAGCGUUGUCCGGAAUUACUGGGCGUAAAGAGCUCGUAGGUGGUUUGUCGCGUUGUUCGUGAAAACUCACAGCUUAACUGUGGGCGUGCGGGCGAUACGGGCAGACUUGAGUACUGCAGGGGAGACUGGAAUUCCUGGUGUAGCGGUGGAAUGCGCAGAUAUCAGGAGGAACACCGGUGGCGAAGGCGGGUCUCUGGGCAGUAACUGACGCUGAGGAGCGAAAGCGUGGGGAGCGAACAGGAUUAGAUACCCUGGUAGUCCACGCCGUAAACGGUGGGUACUAGGUGUGGGUUUCCUUCCUUGGGAUCCGUGCCGUAGCUAACGCAUUAAGUACCCCGCCUGGGGAGUACGGCCGCAAGGCUAAAACUCAAAGAAAUUGACGGGGGCCCGCACAAGCGGCGGAGCAUGUGGAUUAAUUCGAUGCAACGCGAAGAACCUUACCUGGGUUUGACAUGCACAGGACGUGCCUAGAGAUAGGUAUUCCCUUGUGGCCUG